GUGUCAGCCGCCGCGGUAAUACGGAGGGUGCGAGCGUUAAUCGGAAUUACUGGGCGUAAAGCGCAUGCAGGUGGUUUGUUAAGUCAGAUGUGAAAGCCCGGGGCUCAACCUCGGAAUUGCAUUUGAAACUGGCAGACUAGAGUACUGUAGAGGGGGGUAGAAUUUCAGGUGUAGCGGUGAAAUGCGUAGAGAUCUGAAGGAAUACCGGUGGCGAAGGCGGCCCCCUGGACAGAUACUGACACUCAGAUGCGAAAGCGUGGGGAACAAACAGGAUUAGAUACCCGGGUAGUCC
rnacentral:rRNA from 1 species